rnacentral:lncRNA from 13 species
CAUCAGAUUAUUUGUUGUGGUAUAAGGCAGUCUACAGCACUGUAUAUUGAUUGAUAUGAUUGCAAAUCUAAGCUUGAUGUCAGGCAGUGUUACAGUGCAAAAUCUUAUCUAAAUAUAAUGAGCAUAAUGCCUUCAAACAGAUAGCUAGAAAGAUAACUAUAUAAAGGAAAAUACAUCAGAGAACCAUAACCUUUAACAAGGACCUUCAAAAGCACAUCCCUUCUGGCAUGCUAUAUCUUAUUGUACGUACUUAUUGCUGUUACUUCUGGCAUGCUAUAUCUUAUUGUACGUACUUAUUGCUGUUACUUCUGGCAUGCUAUAUCUUAUUGUACGUACUUAUUGCUGUUACUUCUGGCAUGCUAUAUCUUAUUGUACGUACUUAUUGCUGUUACUUCUGGCAUGCUAUAUCUUAUUGUACAUACUUAUUGCUGUUACUUCUGGCUUGCUAUAUCUUAUUGUACGUACUUAUUGCUGUUACUUCUGGCAUGCUAUAUCUUAUUGUACGUACUUAUUGCUGUUACUUCUGGCAUGCUAUAUCUUAUUGUACGUACUUAUUGCUGUUACUUCUGGCAUGCUAUAUCUUAUUGUACGUACUUAUUGCUGUUACUUCUGGCAUGCUAUAUCUUAUUGUACGUACUUAUUGCUGUUACUUCUGGCUUGCUAUAUCUUAUUGUACGUACUUAUUGCGGUUACUUCUGGCAUGCUAUAUCUUAUUGUACGUACUUAUUGCUGUUACUUCUGGCAUGCUAUAUCUUAUUGUACGUACUUAUUGCGGUUACUUCUGGCAUGCUAUAUCUUAUUGUACGUACUUAUUGCUGUUACUUCUGGCAUGCUAUAUCUUAUUGUACGUACUUAUUGCUGUUACUUCUGGCUUGCUAUAUCUUAUUGUACGUACUUAUUGCGGUUACUUCUGGCUUGCUACUCUUAUGGAUAUGGUUCAAGGCAGGCGGCAGACUAUUGUAUUGAAAUUGUGACAUCCAGAAUGAAACAAUUUAUGUGAGACGUCAGUU